rnacentral:rRNA from 1 species
UACAGAGGGGGCAAGCGUUACUCGGAAUUAUUGGGCGUAAAGGCGCGUAGGCGGCCUGACAAGUGGAUGGUGAAAUCCCUCGGCUUAACCGAGGAACUGCCCUCCAAACUGCUUGGCUUGAGUCCGGGAGAGGUGAGUGGAAUUCCCAGUGUAGCGGUGAAAUGCGUAGAUAUUGGGAGGAACACCAGUGGCGAAGGCGGCUCACUGGACCGGAACUGACGCUGAGGCGCGAAAGCGUGGGGAGCAAACGGG